UAAGCAUAUCAAUAAGCGGAGGAAAAGAAACCAACCGGGAUUGCCUCAGUAACGGCGAGUGAAGCGGCAAGAGCUCAAAUUUGAAAUCUGGCCCCCUCGGGGUCCGAGUUGUAAUUUGCAGAGGAUGCUUCGGGAGCGGUCCCCAUCUAAGUGCCCUGGAACGGGCCGUCAUAGAGGGUGAGAAUCCCGUCUGGGAUGGGCGGCCGCGCCCGUGUGAAGCUCCUUCGACGAGUCGAGUUGUUUGGGAAUGCAGCUCUAAGCGGGUGGUAAAUUUCAUCUAAAGCUAAAUACUGGCCGGAGACCGAUAGCGCACAAGUAGAGUGAUCGAAAGAUGAAAAGCACUUUGAAAAGAGAGUUAAACAGCACGUGAAAUUGUUGAAAGGGAAGCGUUGUCCACCAGACUCGCCCGGGGGGGUUCAGCCGGCACGUGUGCCGGUGUACUCCUCUCCGGGCGGGCCAGCAUCGGUUUGGGCGGCUGGUGAAAGGCCCCGGGAAUGUACCACCCUCCGGGGUGUCUUAUAGCCCGGGGUGCCAUACAGCCAGCCUGGACCGAGGCCCGCGCUUCGGCGAGGAUGCUGGCGUAAUGGUGGUCAACGGCCCGUCUUGAAACACGGACCAAGGAGUCUAACAUCUAUGCGAGUGUUCGGGUGUCAAACCCGUCCGCGCAGUGAAAGCGAACGGAGGUGGGAGCCCCUCGGGGCGCACCAUCGACCGAUCCUGAUGUCUUCGGAUGGAUUUGAGUAAGAGCAUAGCUGUUGGGACCCGAAAGAUGGUGAACUAUGCCUGAAUAGGGCGAAGCCAGAGGAAACUCUGGUGGAGGCUCGCAGCGGUUCUGACGUGCAAAUCGAUCGUCAAAUUUGGGUAUAGGGGCGAAAGACUAAUCGAACCAUCUGGUAGCUGGUUCCUGC
rnacentral:rRNA from 1 species